rnacentral:rRNA from 1 species
AUUGAACGCUGGCGGCGGGCCUAACACAUGCAAGUCGGGCGGGGUUUUCGGACCUAGCGGCGGACGGGUGAGUAAUGCGUAGGAAGCUGCCCGAUAGAGCGGGAUACCAGUUGGAAACGACUGUUAAUACCGCAUAAUGUCUACGGACCAAAGUGUGGGACCUUCGGGCCACAUGCUAUCGGAUGCGCCUAAGUGGGAUUAGCUAGUUGGUGAGGUAAUGGCUCACCAAGGCGACGAUCUCUAGCUGGUUUGAGAGGAUGAUCAGCCACACUGGAACUGAGACACGGUCCAGACGCCGACGGGAGGCAGCAGUGGGGAAUAUUGGACAAUGGGCGCAAGCCUGAUCCAGCCAUGCCGCGUGUGUGAAGAAGGCCUUCGGGUUGUAAAGCACUUUCAGCGAGGAGGAAGGGUGGUGUUUUAAUAGAGCAUCAUUUUGACGUUACUCGCAGAAGAAGCACCGGCUAACUCUGUGCCAGCAGCCGCAGUAACAC